AAAAUAGCAAAAAUUCCAAGUAUCCUGUGAAUUUCUUUAAGGAAAGAGAUUUCAGAAGCCAUGCCAUGUAUUCAGCAAGUACUGAAAGGGCACAUUGAAGGCACUUGCGCCCAAUCAAAAGCGAGUUUGUUGAAUCUAUACGAACAAUACACAAAAUUUCAAGCUACUACUCAAAACAGAUUAUUAACAGAUUAUUAACAGAUUGAUUGGCAUGAAGAAAAUCGCAGACGUCAGUGUUUAGGCGGUCUUUAUGAUUUGCAUUGCUUAGCAAAUUAUACUUCGAAUGAAUGUGGAAACCGUGCUCGGGAUGGAUUCCUAGAGUUUUACCAGAGAUCUAACAUGCUAUAUAUGAUAUGUCCGCAAAAUCGCCUCUCUGGUAUUUUGGAUAUCAUCGGUGAAAUGAAAUCUAUAGUACAACCUUUAUUUUCGACUGGCUUAAGAUUCUUGGAUUAAUAAUAAAAGAAUAAUGCUGCAUUUUGUUACUUCCAGCCUCGAUGUUAUUUAUAUUGUUAAUUUUCAUUUCAUUUCGUAUUACUUCUGAAUGUUGGAAAAAACGUAUGCAUGUUAUUUUAAUUCAUG
rnacentral:lncRNA from 1 species